GUAAAUGCGAUGAAGAGAAGAGUACCAUCAUUAAGACCUACAGAGAGUUGCCGGAGGCUGAGAGGCGCAGGAGAGAUGAAUGGGAAGUACAUCUCGGAGCAGCAGACCGAAAUGCCCUGCAAAGUAGACUCUGCCGGCCGGCACCGAUAGCAGCCAUGGUUGUAAUAAGAUGAUAAUCUUACGCAUACCAAGAAAGCCGUAAAUCGUGAGGUUUACGGGAACGAAGGUGGUACCACGGGCUUAUACCUGUCCUUUCU
rnacentral:ncRNA from 1 species